rnacentral:rRNA from 1 species
GGCUACGGCCAUAUCACGAUGAAUGCACCUCAUCCCGUCCGAUUUGAGAAGUUAAGCAUCGUCGAGCCACAUCAGUAUUGAGGUUGGAGACAAAUUGGGAACUGUGGUGCUGUAGUCU